rnacentral:rRNA from 1 species
CCUACGGGUGGCUGCAGUAAGGAAUAUUGGACAAUGGAGGCAACUCUGAUCCAGCCAUGCCGCGUGAAGGAUGAAGGCCCUACGGGUUGUAAACUUCUUUUCUCUUAGAAAAAACUACUGGUUUCGUACCGGUACUGAUUGUACAAGAGGAAUAAGCAUCGGCUAACUUCGUGCCAGCAGCCGCGGUAAUACGAAGGAUGCAAGCGUUAUCCGGAUUCACUGGGUUUAAAGGGUGUAAAAGUGGGGUGGUGAAAGCCCCCGACUCAAUCGGGGAACUGCCAUAGAUACUGUUAUUCUUGAGUGUGGUUGAGGCGGAUGGAAUAUGACAUGUAGCGGUGAAAUGCUUAGAUAUGUCAUAGAACACCGAUCGCGAAGGCAGUCCGCCAAACCAUUACUGACACUGAAACACGAAAGUGCGGGGAUCAAACAGGAUUAGAUACCCUUGUAGUC